GCCAAAAAGUUCGUUCGGGUUUUCCUGUAAGGUGUUUCAAAAACGCGAAUGAACUUUUUGGC
rnacentral:miRNA from 1 species